rnacentral:lncRNA from 10 species
GCAACCGGAGUCCUUUUCCACACUGUGGAAGCUUUGUUCUUUUGCUCUUUGCAAUAAAUCUUGCUGCUGCUCACUCUUUGGGUCCACACUGCCUUUAUGAGCUGUAACACUCACCGUGAAGGUCUGCAGCUUUACUCCUGAAGCCAGCGAGACCACGAACCCACCGGCAGGAACGAACAACUCCAGACGCGCCGCCUUAAGAGCUGUAACACUCACCGCGAAGGUCUGCAGCUUCACUCCUGAGCCAGCGAGACCACGAACCCACCGGAAGGAAGAAACUCUGAACACAUCCGAACAUCAGAAGGAACAAACUCCGGACACGCCGCCUUUAAGAACUGUUAACACUCACCGCAAGGGUCCGCGGCUUCGUUCUUGAAGUCAGUGAGACCAAGAACCCACCAAUUCCGGACACAAGGGGAGCUGACUUUCAUUAUAAAGAUUUUCUCAUUGCAAAGUGAAAAAGAGAAUAAUAACUUUAAAACAAGGCAGAAAGUAAAGAGAACUGGAAGCGAGGAACAUGCUCUGAACUAGAACUGGCAACAUGAGAGAUGAGCUCAGGCUUCAAAAUGGUGUCUGCACUGGGUCUUGAAGGAAGAGCAGAGUUUGGGCAUUUAGAAACCAAGAAUUCCAGGUUGACAAGUCUCAGAGCAUGGUGCUGGCAUCUGGCAAGGGCCUUAUCCCAUGGCAGAAGGCAGAAGUGAGUACACAAGACAGAGGGAAGAAGGAGGCCAGACUCCCAAGAAAUGAAUGGCAGUAUCAUCAGAACAACCACCCAUAUGUUUUCCCAAAGCAAGACAUUGUGAGGUGUUAAGAGAUAUAUGCAGGUCUUCAAGGAAUCGUUACACUGUCUUCUACUAUGGCUGAACUAAUUUACAUUCCCACCAACAGUGUAAGUGUUCCUAUUUCUCCACAGCCUUGCUAGCAUCUGUUGUUUCUUAACUUUUUAAUAAUUGUCAUUCUGUCAUGAGAUAGUAUGUCAUUGUGGUUUUGAUUUGCAUUUCUCUAAUGAUCAGCGAUGUUGAGCUUUUUAUCGUUUG